CUUAUUUUUUUCAGUCAUAGAAAAUUACAAUAACAAAAUACAACAGAGCCCACACAUAUGUUAGCCACUUUUGCCGUAGGUCCUCAAUUGAUGCAAGAUGUGCCCAUUGGAAAAAGGGGGAGUGCCAAAGGAAUGCAACCUGCAGACUCAAGCACUAACUCCAGAGAGAGAAUGUUUCCAUGGAAAGAAGAACUUAUGAAUGCUGACCAGUGCUGGACUCCAGUAUAAAUGGGAAUCUAAGCCAUCACCAGUUUUAAGGGAUGAGCAGUAGAUGUGGAGUGAUAUCUGCCAUGCUUUCCAGAGAUCUCCUGCUGAGGCGCCACUGCUUGAAGCACACCCUCCCUGGUGCCAAGUAACAACAGGAUGGAGCAUCCACUCACGGGCCUGUACUUUGGGUGUUUUAAUGAGUUACAAAGAAACUGUUUGGUGAGCAGAAAUGAAUCUGCUACCAAAAAAAAGUCAAAGCUGGAAGCAGGG
rnacentral:lncRNA from 10 species